AUUGAACGCUGGCGGCAGGCCUAACACAUGCAAGUCGAGCGGCAGCGGGAAGUAGCUUGCUACUUUGCCGGCGAGCGGCGGACGGGUGAGAAAUGUCUGGGAAACUGCCUGAUGGAGGGGGAUAACUACUGGAAACGGUAGCUAAUACCGCAUAACGUCGCAAGACCAAAGAGGGGGACCUUCGGGCCUCUUGCCAUCAGAUGUGCUCAGAUGGGAUUAGCUAGUAGGUGGGGUAAUGGCUCACCUAGGCGACGAUCCCUAGCUGGUCUGAGAGGAUGACCAGCCACACUGGAACUGAGACACGGUCCAGACUCCUACGGGAGGCAGCAGUGGGGAAUAUUGCACAAUGGGCGCAAGCCUGAUGCAGCCAUGCCGCGUGUGUGAAGAAGGCCUUCGGGUUGUAAAGCACUUUCAGCGAGGAGGAAGGCAUUAAGGUUAAUAACCUUAGUGAUUGACGUUACUCGCAGAAGAAGCACCGGCUAACUCCGUGCCAGCCGCCGCCGUAA
rnacentral:rRNA from 1 species